rnacentral:tRNA from 1 species
GGAUUGUGGCUUGGUGGUAGAGCGUUUGCCUAGCAUGCAUGAGGCACUGGGUUCGAUCCUCAGCACCA